rnacentral:rRNA from 1 species
GAUGAACGCUGGCGGCGCGCCUAACACAUGCAAGUCGAACGAUUAAAGCACCUUCGGGUGUGUAUAAAGUGGCGAACGGCUGAGUAACACGUGGGCAACCUGCCCCUCUCAUUGGGAUAGCCACGGGAAACCGUGGAUAAUACCGAAUACUUCGGGACUUCCGCAUGGAAGACUCGAGAAAGCUCCGGCGGAGAGGGAUGGGCCCGCGGCCUGUUAGCUUGUUGGUGGGGUAAUGGCCUACCAAGGCAAUGAUGGGUAGCUGGGUUGAGAGACCGACCAGCCAGAUUGGGACUGAGACACGGCCCAGACUCCUACGGGGGGCAGCAGUGGGGAAUCUUGCACAAUGGGCGAAAGCCUGAUGCAGCGACGCCGCGUGCGGGAUGAAGGCCUUCGGGUUGUAAACCGCUUUCGGCAGGGACGAGGCGAAAGUGACGGUACCUGCAGAAGAAGCCCCGGCUAACUACGUG